rnacentral:rRNA from 1 species
AACGAACGCUGGCGGCGCGCCUAAUACAUGCAAGUCGAGCGAGAAGACGUAGCAAUACGUUUGUAAAGCGGCGAACGGGUGAGGAAUACAUGGGUAACCUACCCUCGAGCGGGGAAUAACUAGCCGAAAGGUUAGCUAAUACCGCGUACGCUCCUAGGACUUCGGCUCAGGGAGGAAAGCGAUACCGUGGGUAUCGCGCGCUUGGAUGGGCUCAUGUCCUAUCAGCUUGUUGGUGAGGUAACGGCUCACCAAGGCUUCGACGGGUAGCUGGUCUGAGAGGACGAUCAGCCACACUGGCACUGCGACACGGGCCAGACUCCUACGGGAGGCAGCAGUAAGGAAUAUUGCGCAAUGGGCGAAAGCCUGACGCAGCGACGCCGCGUGGGGGAUGAAGGUCUUCGGAUUGUAAACCCCUUUCGGGAGGGAAGAUGGAACGAGCAAUCGGUCGGACGGUACCUCCAGAAGCAGCCACGGCUAACUUCGUGCCAGCAGCCGCGGUAAUAC